AAAAUAAUGCUUAAAGAUACUAUUAUUAAAUUACACUUAAAACAUCAGGCAUGGUGCCUCACACCUAUAAUCCCAGCACUUUGAGAGAAAAAUACAAAAAUUAGCCAGGCCUGGUGGUGCAUGCCUGUAGUCCCAGAUACUUGGGAAGCUGAGGUGGGAAGAUUGCUUGAACCUGGGAGGUUGAGGCUGCAGUGAGCUGAGAUGGUGACACUGCACUCCAGCGUAACUGGCAGUAGUAAUCUGGCGGUUGACACUCUCGUUGCCUGUAUAGGCUGAUGGCCCACUCACCUUUUUAGCUGGGCUCCUGACCUGUCCGGCCAGAAAGUUGCCACUGGGGUAAAUUCUUAAAGCGGUGCCUCCCUGAACAAAGGUGAAAACAGUGCUUUUAUUAGUCGUAUGUAGAGGUGGAGCAAAAGCCGUGCUGGUGCAGUUUUCUAUCAUGUUUCUACAUACCUCGCAUGCAUAGAAAAUAGCAAAUAAGGCCGGGCGCAGUGGCUCAUGCCUGUAAUCCCAGCACUUUGGAAGGCUGAGGCAGGCGGAUCACCUGAGGUCGGGAGUUCGAGACCAAACUGACCAACAUGGGGAGAAACCCUGUCUCCACUAAAAAUACAAAAGUAGCCGGGCAUAGUGGCGCAUGCCUGUAAUCACAGCUACUCGGGAGGCUGAGGCAGGAGAAUCGCUUCAACCCGGGAGGCGGAAGUUGCUGUGAGCCGAGACUGCGCCAUUGCACUCCAGCCUUGGCAACAAGAGCGAAACUGCACCUCAGAAAAGAAAAAAAAAAAGAAAGAGAGAGAGAGAGAAAGAAAGAAGGGAAAGGAAAGGAGAGGGAAGG
rnacentral:lncRNA from 1 species